UUCAAUGUUAUCAUUAAAACUACUUCCAGUGAGCUCUGUUGAUGCAGCAUCUCUGUUACUGAUUGUCAUUUCCAUAUUACUAUCAGUUUCUGUAGACCAUUUCAGUUGAUGUUCAAUAUUAUUUGAUAUUUCAUACUCUUUACAUUGUUUCAAAGCAUUAAUGACAUCUCUCCAUGAUGCUGUAGGAUUAGCUUGUAACCAUCUCUUAUGUAAAGCCAUUUUCAUGAGGAAGACAAAGAGCAAAUGGUUUCCAGUCAACAAGUGGUUUAAGACACUUUGCAAAUAAGAGACAA